AGAGUUUGAUCCUGGCUCAGGACGAACGCUGGCGGCGUGCUUAACACAUGCAAGUCGAACGGAAAGCCCCCUUCGGGGGGACUCGAGUGGCGAACGGGUGAGUAACACGUGGGUGAUCUGCCCUGCACUUUGGGAUAAGCCUGGGAAACUGGGUCUAAUACCGGAUAGGACCACGGCCUGCAUGGGCUGUGGUGGAAAGCUUUUGCGGUGUGGGAUGGGCCCGCGGCCUAUCAGCUUGUUGGUGGGGUGAUGGCCUACCAAGGCUGCGACGGGUAGCCGGCCUGAGAGGGUGUCCGGCCACACUGGGACUGAGAUACGGCCCAGACUCCUACGGGAGGCAGCAGUGGGGAAUAUUGCACAAUGGGCGCAAGCCUGAUGCAGCGACGCCGCGUGGGGGAUGACGGCCUUCGGGUUGUAAACCUCUUUCACCAUCGACGAAGCCUUUUAGGUGACGGUAGGUGGAGAAGAAGCACCGGCCAACUACGUGCCAGCAGCCGCGGUAAUACGUAGGGUGCGAGCGUUGUCCGGAAUUACUGGGCGUAAAGAGCUCGUAGGUGGUUUGUCGCGUUGUUCGUGAAAUGCCACAGCUUAACUGUGGGCGUGCGGGCGAUACGGGCAGACUGGAGUACUGCAGGGGAGACUGGAAUUCCUGGUGUAGCGGUGAAAUGCAGAUAUCAGGAGGAACACCUGUGGUGUAGACAGCUUACUGGACCAUCACUGACACUGAGACACGAAAGCGUGGGUAGCAAACAGGAUUAGAUACCCCAGUAGUCC
rnacentral:rRNA from 1 species